rnacentral:lncRNA from 10 species
GGGGCUCUGGAGGAAGGUGACCGUAGAUCCAGAUGUACAAUCUCCAGCAGGGACACAGCCAUCCUGAAAGCCCCCGGGUAUUCCCUCAUUCUCCCUCAGAGCAGUGGGAAGAGCACUGGAAAGGCAGCGAAACCCAGGGCGCCGAGUUCAGGAAUGUUUGUACUGGUCCCUUGCUUUCAUCCCUGUCACUAUCGGACUCAUUUCCAGUGCCCAGGUAUCCAUUCACACCAUGUAAACUGCUGUUUCAAGUUCUCUCAUUCAGGUACCCCCAUUUUUACCGUCAAUGGCUUUUUCCCCGUAAAGAAGCUAAGUUUGGCUUGACAUCUCUACAGGGCUCCUCUUCAUAGGCAACCAGGAGCUGAGAAGACCUCAUUCAUGCUGAGAUAGUCCUGUCUUCAAGAGAAAGAGGAAAGAAUAAAUAGAAUUGUAUGCAAUUCUGAGGAAAAUAGGGAGAAGAGAUCUUGCUGACCCACCCCUUCUCUUUCUUUCUGACCUGAAUGUGGAUAUGUGGUUUGCUUCUGUGGCUGCAAUCAGGUGACAUGAGGCACCAACCAUUGGACCAAGAAGACAACAGCCAAAGACAGAAGAGCAGAAAAAUAAAAGGAAAAGGCCUGUGUUUUGAUAACAUCAAUGAGCAGCAGUACCAGUGCCAAUAGUCACCUGUCUCCAGCCUUCUUGUGAAUGAGAUACUACAGUGACGGGGUUUUGCCAUGAUGCUAAGGCUGAUCUUGAACUCCUGGGCUCAAGCAAUGUGCUUGCCUUGGCCUCCCAAAGUGCUGGGAUUACAGGUGUGAGUGACGGCACCCAGCCCCAUUGCUUGUUAUUGUCAACUUUGUCAAAAAUCAGAUGAUUGUAGAUGUGUGGUUUUAUUUGUAGCUUCUCUAACCUGUUUCAUUGGUUUAUGUGUCUGUUUUUGUACCACAAUCUGCCGUUUUGGUUACUGCAGCCUUGUAGUAUAGUUUGAAAUCAG